UUUAACUCCUUNCAGAGAACNUAGCAGAGAUGCUUUGGUGCCUUCGGGAACUCUGAGACAGGUGCUGCAUGGCUGUCGUCAGCUCGUGUUGUGAAAUGUUGGGUUAAGUCCCGCAACGAGCGCAACCCUUAUCCUUUGUUGCCAGCGGUUCGGCCGGGAACUCAAAGGAGACUGCCAGUGAUAAACUGGAGGAAGGUGGGGAUGACGUCAAGUCAUCAUGGCCCUUACGAGUAGGGCUACACACGUGCUACAAUGGCGCAUACAAAGAGAAGCGACCUCGCGAGAGCAAGCGGACCUCAUAAAGUGCGUCGUAGUCCGGAUUGGAGUCUGCAACUCGACUCCAUGAAGUCGGAAUCGCUAGUAAUCGUAGAUCAAAAUGCUACGGUGAAUACGUUCCCGGGCCUUGU
rnacentral:rRNA from 1 species